CAUCUCUCCGGAAGCCAAGUGUUUUUCUUUUGCAAGCACUGGUUUCUUGUCGGACCGGUCGGAGUGACAGCUACAUCCGGUUCAUGGAAGCUAACGCUUUGGCCAACAACCGCUGCGCGUGGAGGCUGCAAACUUGGAGAAAUUGUUCAAUAUGAGAACAAAAUGAAUGCAUCAAUGUUCAAUGGGAAGCGACCAGGUGGACUUCAAACCAGGGUUCCACCAGUCGAAAGUGACGACAGCUGUCUUGACAGUGGGGAUAGUGAUGAAGACUACACUCCUACACCACGUCGGCACUAUCCACUAAGCUACCGACGCUCCUAUUGCUGCCGGUUUCAUCACCUGGUCAGGAGUAUAGUCUGUACGCAGCAUGCACAGACCCUAUGCACAGAGGCACCGCCUCGCCGCAGCGGUCGCGGGCUCGAUCCCAGCCUGCGGCUCGUGUCAAUCCCCCAUUCUCUAUUUCCCCACUUCAUGCUGUCCUAAAGCAACAGGCCAAAUAGAUAAUCUUAUUUUUUUUAAAACAGCAGUAACAAUGCUAAAAUUUCGUGUAGAGUUUCAGCUUUUUGCGGUUUACACAUGGCCAUAUGUUUGUGAAUGUAACCAUGUGUACAAGAUGUGUGUAUAAUAUAGGCCUAGAUAAAAAAUGUCUGCACUCUUAUACAGUGAUUUCUUUUUUCUACACCAGGUGAUGAAAGCAGCAGCAGCUAGUACUGACAACAGGAGCAGCAGUGAUGAAGACUCUGAUGGAAAUCACGAUGCUCUUCCUAGCACCAGUGUUCUAAGUGAAAAGCUUGAGCUCUGUUUCACAUUGGAUUAUAGCUGUUAUAGUCAGGACAUUGAAAAUAAUUGUGUGGCAUCAAUAAAAUCUACACACCUGAGAC